UUUCCGUAGGUGAACCUGCGGAAGGAUCAUUAAUGUGUUUGGGCCUCACGGCUCUUCAUUCCGACGCUGUGCGCCUUCGGGCUGCACGCUGAGGGAGCAUAUAUCCACCCCUGUGCACACACACGGUGGCGAGCUGGGUAACGGCUCGCCGCUGAUCUUUACACACGUCUAAAAGUCAUCGUAUGUUUAUUUGAGAUAAAAACACAACUUUCAGCAACGGAUCUCUUGGCUCUC
rnacentral:misc_RNA from 1 species